GUGCGCCGACGCCGUCUACGCCGGCGCGCUGUCUGCUGGGAGCCCGCCCGCACGGCACGGGGCGGCAGAGACGGGAGGA
rfam:Olsenella uli DSM 7084, complete genome.